CUACGGGUUGCUCCAGUGGGGAAUAUUGGACAAUGGGGGAAACCCUGAUCCAGCAAUGCCGCGUGUGUGAAGAAGGCCUGCGGGUUGUAAAGCACUUUCGGUUGGGAGGACUGCUUCUAGCACUAAUAUUGUUGGAAGUUGACGUUACCUUCAGAAGAAGCACCGGCUAACUCCGUGCCAGCAGCCGCGGUGAAUACGGAGGGUGCAAGCGUUAAUCGGAAUUACUGGGCGUAAAGCGCACGUAGGCGGCUAGAUCAGUCGGGUGUGAAAGCCCCGGGCUUAACCUGGGAACUGCAUCCGAUACUGUCUAGCUUGAGUACAGGAGAGGAGAGUGGAAUUCCACAUGUAGCGGUGAAAUGCGUAGAUAUGUGGAGGAACACCAAUGGCGAAGGCAGCUCUCUGGCCUGAUACUGACGCUGAGGUGCGAAAGCGUGGGGAGCAAACAGGAUUAGAUACCCGCGUAGUC
rnacentral:rRNA from 1 species